rnacentral:rRNA from 1 species
UACGAAGGGGGCUAGCGUUGCUCGGAAUCACUGGGCGUAAAGCGCACGUAGGCGGAUUGUUAAGUCAGGGGUGAAAUCCUGGAGCUCAACUCCAGAACUGCCUUUGAUACUGGCGAUCUCGAGUCCGGGAGAGGUGAGUGGAACUGCGAGUGUAGAGGUGAAAUUCGUAGAUAUUCGCAAGAACACCAGUGGCGAAGGCGACUCUUUGGCCUGUAACUGACGCUGAGGCGCGAAAGCGUGGGGAGCAAACAGG